CUUUGCUCAUUGACGUUACCCGCAGAAGAAGCACCGGCUAACUCCGUGCCAGCAGCCGCGGUAAUACGGAGGGUGCAAGCGUUAAUCGGAAUUACUGGGCGUAAAGCGCACGCAGGCGGUUUGUUAAGUCAGAUGUGAAAUCCCCGGGCUCAACCUGGGAACUGCAUCUGAUACUGGCAAGCUUGAGUCUCGUAGAGGGGGGUAGAAUUCCAGGUGUAGCGGUGAAAUGCGUAGAGAUCUGGAGGAAUACCGGUGGCGAAGGCGGCCCCCUGGACGAAGACUGACGCUCAGGUGCGAAAGCGUGGGGAGCAAACAGGAUUAGAUACCCUGGUAGUCCACGCCGUAAACGAUGUCGACUUGGAGGUUGUGCCCUUGAGGCGUGGCUUCCGGAGCUAACGCGUUAAGUCGACCGCCUGGGGAGUACGGCCGCAAGGUUAAAACUCAAAUGAAUUGACGGGGGCCCGCACAAGCGGUGGAGCAUGUGGUUUAAUUCGAUGCAACGCGAAGAACCUUACCUGGUCUUGACAUCCACGGAAGUUUUCAGAGAUGAGAAUGUGCCUUCGGGAACCGUGAGACAGGUGCUGCAUGGCUGUCGUCAGCUCGUGUUGUGAAAUGUUGGGUUAAGUCCCGCAACGAGCGCAACCCUUAUCCUUUGUUGCCAGCGGUCCGGCCGGGAACUCAAAGGAGACUGCCAGUGAUAAACUGGAGGAAGGUGGGGACGACGUCAAGUCAUCAUGGCCCUUACGACCAGGGCUACACACGUGCUACAAUGGCGCAUACAAAGAGAAGCGACCUCGCGAGAGCAAGCGGACCUCAUAAAGUGCGUCGUAGUCCGGAUUGGAGUCUGCAACUCGACUCCAUGAAGUCGGAAUCGCUAGUAAUCGUGGAUCAGAAUGCCACGGUGAAUACGUUCCCGGGCCUUGUACACACCGCCCGUCACACCAUGGGAGUGGGUUGCAAAAGAAGUAGGUAGCUUAACCUUCGGGAGGGCGCUUACCACUUUGUGAUUCAUGACUGGGGUGAAGUCGUAACAAGGUAACCGUAGGGGAACCUGCGGUUGGAUCACCUCCUUACCUUAAAGAAGC
rnacentral:rRNA from 1 species